UUUUGGAUAAUAAAUUGAUCCAAACGUUGUUGAGGAAAAUGUGAAACUAAUUGUUGGUUCGUAAAUGUGCAGAUGUGCACGAUGUGGGUAACGUUAAUGUCCGAACCGGUCGGGUCUUUUGUGGGCUUACGGAUAUUUUAACCCAAA